CCUUCGAUAGCUCAGUUGGUAGAGCGGAGGACUGUAGGUGUUAAAAUUGUCAUCCUUAGGUCGCUGGUUCAAAUCCGGCUCGAAGGA
rfam:Astyanax mexicanus Tnplaced_Scaffold3840, whole genome shotgun sequence.